UACAGAGGGUGCAAGCGUUUAAUCGGAAUUACUGGGCGUAAAGCGUGCGUAGUCGGUUAUCUAAGUCGGGUGUGAAAUCCCCGGGCUCAACCUGGGAAUUGCAUUCGAUACUGGAUAGCUAGAGUUCGGCAGAGGGAAGCGGAAUUUCCGGUGUAGCGGUGAAAUGCGUAGAUAUCGGAAGGAACAUCAGUGGCGAAAGCGGCUUCCUGGACCAGAACUGACGAUCAGGCACGAAAGCGUGGGGAGCAAACAGGG
rnacentral:rRNA from 1 species